AUCCAGAUAGUUUACAGAAGAAUAAGAAUUUGUGGAUUUCUAGGUGCGGGGGCUCUGGAUU
rnacentral:tRNA from 1 species